AUUGAACGCUGGCGGCAGGCUUAACACAUGCAAGUCGAGCGAGAGGCGGACGGGUGUGUAAUGUCGGGGAAACUGCCUGAUGGAGGGGGAUAACUAAUGGAAGCGGUAGCUAAUAACGCAUAACAUCAGAUGUGCCCAGAUGGGCUGAGCUAGGAGGUGGGGUAAGGGCUCACAUAGGCGACGAUGCCUAGCUGGUCGGAGAGGAUGACCAGCCACACGGGAACUGAUACACGGGCCAGACUCCUACGGGAGGCAGCAGUGGGGAAUAUGGCACAAUGGGCGCAAGCCUGAUGCAGCCAUGCCGCGUGUGUGAAGAAGGCCUUCGGGUUGUAAAGCACUUUCAGCGAGGAGGCGUUACUCGCAGAAGAAGCACCGGCUAACUCCGUGCCAGCAGCCGCGGUAAUUC
rnacentral:rRNA from 1 species